CAGAAUAUUCAACUUAGUUUGGAAGGAAUAUAGGAUUUGUUGCUAACAUCUGUAGCUUAAGCAGCUGGUAAAAUUUCUCUAGCAUUUUCCUCUUACCGAAUACUAAAUUCAACCAAUCUGACAAUCCUCCAUUCUGUUUUUUUCUCUACUUUUAUUUUUUAAUAGAGUCAUAUCCAGACACAGACUACCCUUUAAAUAAGUUUGCACUUAUUUUUUUAAACAGCUAGAGAGCAUGAAUUAGGUUACCUCUCUCCUGUGUAACUCCAUCUUUUCUUUGGGAAUUCUAUCAUAGAUGCUGCUCUGUCUGCAUCUGGCAGGACUGAGCCUUGCUGCCCAGUGCUGCCAGCUGCUGGAGUCUGCACUCCCACCACAGAUUUCACUUACCUGCCACCUCGGGUUUUCUGUUGCACGCGGGCCACUUCCUAACAGGAUUUUGUCAAAUCCGUUUCUAUUCCUUUUAACACCUAUUAUUCGAAUAACUUGUUUAUUUUUCAAAAGAAAAGUUUUGACAACUGUGAGAUGGAGAACUUAUGGAGGAAGGCAAUAAGCAAGCCUGAGAGCUGCCUGUAAUAAAAAUACAAUGGAGCUGAACAACUGAAGGCUGGAGGAGCAUGCUGAUUUCUUAAGAAGUAGCGCAGUGUUUAUGAGCAACAAUUCACACUUUUACUUCCAAAGAUAAUUAUUUGAUGUUAAAAUGUUUCUGGGAUACUUAAAAUUAUGGGCAAGCCUACAAUGGACAUUGAGUACUUACAUGUAGGCAGACUAAUUCUGAUUGUAAAACACAUGCUUCAAGUGUUUUUUGCUUUCUACUCAGGGUGCUGGACAUUCAUAAAAAAAAGGAAUCACAUCUCAUUUUCAAGCAGAACAUAUGGAGGAGGAAUAGAAUUAACCUCCUGUGGUGGCACAGCAAUUCAUUUUCACCUACACUUCACUGAAAAUGCUCGACAUAUCAUUUGAAUGACAUUUGGAAUGUAAGAGAAGACUGCUUUUGCACCCAUGUUUGCUAAAGAGUAAAAGAAGUGAGAAAUCACCUAAACAACUUCAACGUGCCAACUCAAAAUUGUCCUGCUGAAGCCACCAUCAACAAGUCUCAGAUCAAAGUAGCAGAUCAGGCACUUGAGCAGUAAGACACUUGAACAGUAAGAGAGAAGAACCUCAGUAAUUGAAGUACGCCUUACAACUGUCCACCACAAGGACUGUUAACCUAAUCUGUUCUUUAUUUAAUUUGGAGCCAUAUACACGUGUCUAUGGCCUCCCUCUAUAAACACUUGGAUCACUCUUUGCAAUGGCAUAACUGUGCUGGUAGCGAGCCAGAGUAGGAAAGGAAGUAGUAAAAACACUUCUCAGUGAUGCAGCACUGUUUGUUACUUCAGUCUUACGCUGGUGUGACACGUCUGAUGUCACAGAAGACUUAAAAUGAGAAUGCUAGUAUAAAAGAAGCAGAUCUUCCAUCGUGCAGUAAGGCACAGGUAAAAUCUAGUCCCUUCAGCACACUGGCUAUGUACAUUAACCAACGUUAAUUCAGAUUUCAAAGUGCUCGCUUGUGAUUGGAAAACAGACUUUAAAGGCAAGCUGAAGUGACUUGUUAUGAAACAUACCUAAAUGAACUAAAGCAAAAGAACCAUAAGGGAUCAAAUGAAAUUAUGAAGUUCCACGAUUAAAAAAAAAAAGAAAAA